rnacentral:rRNA from 1 species
AGAGCGUAAGGGUAUAAGUGCGCCUGACUGCAAGAGAUAUAGCUCAAGCAGGUACGAAAGUAGGUCCUAGUGAUCCGGCGGAUUCCGAGUGGAAGGGCCGUCGCUCAUCAGAUAAAAGGUACUCCGGGGAUAACAGGCUGAUCUCCCCCAAGAGUUCAUAUCGACGGGGAGGUUUGGCACCUCGAUGUCGGCUCAUCGCAUCCUGGGGCUGAAGGAGGUCCCAAGGGUUUGGCUGUUCGCCAAUUAAAGCGGUACGCGAGCUGGGUUUAGACCGUCGUGAGACAGGUCGGUCCCUAUCUGACGUGGGUGUAGGAUGAUUGCGGAGGUUUACCCCUAGUACGAGAGGAUUGGGGUGGACGGUCCUCUGGUGUUCCAGUUGUCACGCUCGUGGCAGCGCUGGGUAGCUAUGACCGGAACGGAUAAGUGCUGAAUGCAUCUAAGCGCGAAGCCCUCUCCAAAACUAGUCAUCCCAACUAGCCCCCUGGAAGACUACCAGGUUGAUAGGCCGGCGGUGUAAGCAUGGCAACAUGUUUAGCUUACCGGUACUAAUCGGGCGAUCGGCUUGACCAC